rnacentral:tRNA from 1 species
GGCAUGGUAGCUGAGUGGGUAAAGCGCUUAUAUCUAUUUACUCGGUACCCCGAUUAUCGAUGGUUCAAAUCCAUCCCGGAGUAAGUUA